UACGAAGGGUGCAAGCGUUAAUCGGAAUUACUGGGCGUAAAGGGUGCGUAGGCGGUUCGUUAAGUCUGUCGUGAAAUCCCCGGGCUCAACCUGGGAAUGGCGAUGGAUACUGGCGAGCUAGAGUGUGUCAGAGGAUGGUGGAAUUCCCGGUGUAGCAGUGAAAUGCGUAGAGAUCGGGAGGAACACCAGUGGCGAAGGCGGCCUUCUGGACCAAUACUGACGCUCAUGCACGAAAGCGUGGGGAGCAAACAGG
rnacentral:rRNA from 1 species